rnacentral:rRNA from 1 species
UACAGAGGGGGCAAGCGUUGUUCGGAAUUACUGGGCGUAAAGGGCGCGUAGGCGGCCUUCUAAGUCGAACGUGAAAUCCCCGGGCUUAACCCGGGAACUGCGUCCGAUACUGGGAGGCUUGAAUUCGGGAGAGGGAUGCGGAAUUCCAGGUGUAGCGGUGAAAUGCGUAGAUAUCUGGAGGAACACCGGUGGCGAAGGCGGCAUCCUGGACCGAGAUUGACGCUGAUGCGCGAAAGCCAGGGGAGCAAACGGG